CAGAGGAAACUCACAAUGCAUUGAGCAUCGCUGGAGUCAAGGUGCUAGCUUACUCAUGACAUGAAGAUAUAAAGAUAUUACCUGAUGAAACUUCAGCCAAACUUGCUCUGGCCUGCUACAUUCUCGUUUUCUUACGAUUCGACAUUUAUAUAUCUCAGUGCUUUUUCUUCUAAAACAAGAUUGGUUUAAAAAACAAAAGGAGAACAGGUUUCUUUUCUUUUUUUUAACCAGUUUCAGAUUUAUUUUGUAACCGCUCAGCAGAGAUGCUUCUACUCGGCAGCCAUCUUGGAAUCUCCCCCGCCCUGACUGCUUUGUUACAAUGACUGUAGAAAUUCUCCGCAUUUACUUAGAAACUAAAGUGUUGAUUAAAACUGCAUCUCUCUGCAGAGCUCAUGGAAAGGCCAUCAUAAAAGACCUGGUCAAACAGAGGAAAUUCAGAAAGAUGUGGGAAGAAAGCGUCUCGGAUAAAUCCCGCUGUGAGGUGGAAAGAAGACUCAGAGACGUAUUUCAGAAAUAGACACAGAAAUUUCCCACAUCAUGUCUGCUUCAGGUAAGUAUAUAUGUCAUUUAAAUAUUUAAUAUAACAUGCACAGUAAGUAAAUAUGUAAUAUGCACAAAAAACACUCACUUAUCCACCAACCGGUCGAGGCAGAUGGCCGCCCUCCCUGAGCCUGGUUCUGCCAGAGGUUUCUUCCUGUUAAAAGGGAGUUUUUCCUCUCCACAGUUGCUCAUAGGGAUCAAUUGGAUACAAUAACUUUGUUGCUUUUUGGUCCGUCACAUUGACCAAAAACCAACAUGUUCUUAAUAGAGUGGCAAGUGAGUGUUUUACAUUUUCCAUCUGUGAACGGUAGCUUCUACCGCUCAUUUAUUGAUUUGGCACCAAUUUGGCACAAAAUAAAGAAAACUUUAAAAGACAA